UACAGAGGUCCCAAGCGUUGUUCGGAUUCAUUGGGCGUAAAGGGUGCGUAGGCGGCGCGGUAAGUCGGGUGUGAAAUCUCGGGGCUUAACUCCGAAACUGCAUUCGAUACUGCCGUGCUUGAGGACUGGAGAGGAGACUGGAAUUUACGGUGUAGCGGUGAAAUGCGUAGAUAUCGUAAGGAAGACCAGUGGCGAAGGCGAAUCUCUGGGCCUUACCUGACGCUGAGGCGCGAAAGCUAGGGGAGCAAACAGG
rnacentral:rRNA from 1 species